ACACUAGGUACUUAUCCGAAUCUGUUACCCGUACGCAUCAAAGCUAGAACUGGGUGAUAGAGCAACACGUUUUCAAAGAAAAACUUUUGAUGUGGUGGUGGUUAAAGUUAUCUAGAGAUUUUUCACGUCUUCGUUUUUCGAAGUUCCUUCAUGACAAUCGAUGGGACUGAGUUCUAUAAAUUAUGCUUAUUUAAGGAAAAAAAAAAAAAGGAGCAAAUAAAGCCAGCUGUGUGUCGUAAUUAAAAAAAAAUUGAUUUAGGAUCACGGAGCGGGUCAUGAGCGUCAGCGGCCACAAGGGGGCAGCCUCACACCGGGCUCCGAGACAGGCGACGCGGGUCGCCGAGGCUGCCUCUUUCCCUGUGUGCACAGCUUGUUCUUAUCUCAGGAAGAACAUUCGUGCUCAAACCCAAGACCCACGAGUUGCCACCCGCCUCCUUGCUUCCUCUCACAUUUACUCAAUUUCUGUACAGAUUCUGUUGAGCCUGCUGUGAGUUACUGCCUCCUGGUCACCCGAAGAAGCUUCUCUGAAUGACACACGCCCUUCCAGUCUCCGUAAUCCAGCCUCCGUACAACUUCUGGGACGAUCUUUAAGAAAAUAAAAACAAACAGUUUUAUUCACACACA
rnacentral:lncRNA from 1 species